rnacentral:rRNA from 1 species
GAUGAACGCUGGCGGCGUGCUUAACACAUGCGAGUCGAACGAAGCACUUUAUUUGAGUUCCUUCGGGACUGAUUAUUUUGUGACUGAGUGGCGGACGGGUGAGUAACGCGUGGGUAACCUGCCUUGUACAGGGGGAUAACAGUUGGAAACGGCUGCUAAUACCGCAUAAGCGCACAGCAUCGCAUGAUGCAGUGUGAAAAACUCCGGUGGUAUAAGAUGGACCCGCGUUGGAUUAGCUAGUUGGUGAGGUAACGGCCCACCAAGGCGACGAUCCAUAGCCGACCUGAGAGGGUGACCGGCCACAUUGGGACUGAGACACGGCCCAAACUCCUACGGGAGGCAGCAGUGGGGAAUAUUGCACAAUGGGCGAAAGCCUGAUGCAGCGACGCCGCGUGAGCGAAGAAGUAUUUCGGUAUGUAAAGCUCUAUCAGCAGGGAAGAUAAUGACGGUACCUGACUAAGAAGCACCGGCUAAAUACGUG